rnacentral:rRNA from 1 species
UGCGAAACUCGAAUGAACGAACGGGGAGAUUCAUCGUCACUCCCGGGCGUGGCGGUGCGCUUUAGAUACCUUCGAUCUCGAUCGUGCGGUACUUUGCGCGCCGUUACUACGCUCCGGGACGGCGUGCACUUCUCCUUUAGUAAUGCAUCGCGACCCGUUCGAUGUCGGUCUAAGCUCCGUUCGGGAGUCGCUGUCGUUUAUCUUUCGGGAUUGCGGCGGCGACCGUGACGGUUGCCGACCGGCUGUCGGACGGUAGAACAACGGAUCGCGCACGCGUUUAUAACGCGUCCGGCCCGACGCAAGGUUGCGUCGUCUCACUCCCGUCCUGCCCGAGCGCGGGCGGGGGUGCGGCGCGCCUGUCGUCGCCGCCGUGCUGUCUCGGACUGUGCGCGCACCGUGUCUGC